rnacentral:rRNA from 1 species
UACGGAGGGGACUAGCGUUGUUCGGAAUUACUGGGCGUAAAGCGCACGUAGGCGGAUUUGUAAGUCAGGGGUGAAAUCCCGGGGCUCAACCUCGGAACUGCCUUUGAUACUGCAAAUCUCGAGUCCGGAAGAGGCGAGUGGAAUUCCUGGUGUAGCGGUGAAAUGCGCAGAUAUCAGGAGGAACACCGAUGGCGAAGGCAGCUCACUGGGACGGUACUGACGCUGAGGCGCGAAAGCUAGGGGAGCAAACGGG